UGGCGGCGUGCCUAAUACAUGCAAGUCGAACGGUCUUUCUAUGGAAGCUUGCUUCCACUGAGAAGAUAGUGGCGAACGGGUGAGUAACACGUGGGUAACCUGCCCAUAAGAGGGGGAUAACAUCCGGAAACGGGUGCUAAUACCGCAUAGUUUUCUUGAUCGCAUGAUUGAGAAAGGAAAGACGGCCUUUGUGCUGUCGCUUAUGGAUGGACCCGCGGCGUAUUAGUUAGUUGGUGAGGUAACGGCUCACCAAGACGAUGAUACGUAGCCGACCUGAGAGGGUGAUCGGCCACAUUGGGACUGAGACACGGCCCAAACUCCUACGGGAGGCAGCAGUAGGGAAUCUUCCGCAAUGGACGAAAGUCUGACGGAGCAACGCCGCGUGAGUGAAGAAAGGUUUUCGGAUCGUAAAACUCUGUUGUCAGAGAAGAACAAGUUGGAGAGUAACUGCUCCAGCCUUGACGGUAUCUGACCAGAAAGCCACGGCUAACUACGUGCCAGCCGCCGC
rnacentral:rRNA from 1 species